rnacentral:rRNA from 1 species
CCUACGGGUGGCAGCAGUGAGGAAUAUUGGUCAAUGGACGAGAGUCUGAACCAGCCAAGUAGCGUGAAGGAUGACUGCCCUAUGGGUUGUAAACUUCUUUUAUAUGGGAAUAAAAUGUUCCACGUGUGGGAUUUUGUAUGUACCAUAUGAAUAAGGAUCGGCUAACUCCGUGCCAGCAGCCGCGGUAAUACGGAGGAUCCGAGCGUUAUCCGGAUUUAUUGGGUUUAAAGGGAGCGUAGGUGGAUUGUUAAGUCAGUUGUGAAAGUUUGCGGCUCAACCGUAAAAUUGCAGUUGAAACUGGCAGUCUUGAGUACAGUAGAGGUGGGCGGAAUUCGUGGUGUAGCGGUGAAAUGCUUUGAUAUCACGAAGAACUCCGAUUGCGAAGGCAGUUCACUGGACUGCAACUGACACUGAGGCUCGAAAGUGUGGGUAUCAAACAGGAUUAGAUACCCGAGUAGUC